ensembl:lncRNA
AAAGAUUAGGACAUCUCUCCAAUACUGAUGAGAGGGAAAAGAGACAUUUUCAUCAGGGAAUCUACCAAGAGACCAGUGACAAACUAAAAGGAGCUGCAGGCAUUUCCUCUGGAAUUGGACACUUGCUGCAUAUUACAACCAUGCAUCUAUUCCGCAGGGACAGGUUAGGAGAGAGCUUAGGAGAGAGGUUAGGAGAGAGCUUAGGAGAGAGCUUAGGAGAGAGCUUAGGAGAGAGCUUAGGAGCUUAGGAGAGAUGUUAGGAGAGAGGUUAGGAGAGAGCUUAGGAGCUUAGGAGAGAGCUUAGGAGAGAGGUUAGGACAUAGGUUAGUUGAGAGGUUAGGAGAGAGGUUAGGAGAGAGGUUAGGAGAGAUGUUAGGAGAGAUGUUAAGAGAGAUGUUAGGAGAGAUGUUAGGAGAGAUGUUAGGACAUAGGUUAGGAGAGAGGUUUGGAGAGAGGGGACAAUUAACCAGCUUGAGGAGUGGGUAAAAUGUGCUGUGUUGUCAGAGGCUGCUUACUAAUAUGUAAUCCUAGUAAAUUGUGUUUCCAUAAUGUAUUAGUUGUGUGGCGUGCAUAUUUAUGCAUCAAGA